AGAGCCAAAUACAGUUUUUAAAAAUCUUAAACUCCUAUGUCUUCUGUAAUACCAUUUUUUAAAAUCUUAAAAUUAACUCCAAGAAGCCACCACUGUUCAAAAUAGAAUUGCACUUAGGGUAAAAAAGUUGAAUAAAACUUUUUGAAGACAUUCUAACAAAAUAUUUUGCUGAUGCAACUGUUGCUUAUAUUAUCAUCUUCUUCAAGUGAUUCUCAUUAUUGUCACUGACAAAAAUCUUAAGAUUACUGGCAGCCUUAAGAUUUUAGUAUAUUUAUUUCACUUCUAAGGUCUAUUCUUAUAAUGAGGUUCUUUUAUUUAAAUAAUCCCAGUGAUGUGGGUAUGUAUCUGGAUUAAAAAUCACCAACUUUUUUGUGUUUUUACUAUCUUGCUAUCUAACUUUGACUGUUUUAUAUUUAUCACACAAAUUAUAUCACCAACUUCAUACAUCACAAUCUAGUGCCAAAGGUUUGCAGCAUUUUAAAGAGGACAGAGCAUUGGACUUAGUACAUACUCGAAGGGAUGGUAAAGAGACUGAUCUGUGUUAUCAUGAAAACAUAUGUGAAAGUCAAACGCUGAAGGACUGAGACAUAAGAACACAAGACACUUCAUCAAUGUUAAUUAUUGCUUUUCAUUCAUAAUAGUUGCCAGGACUUGACUGGUAACAGACAAAAGUGAUAUCCUGGAUAUCCAGGAUAGAGACUCAAGAAACCUACUUGGCUGCUCAGAGUAUUAAAACAAAAUAUUUCUUUUUGUUCUCAGAUGUUCUGGGAAAUGAACCAGUACUAUUCAUCAUAUGACAUUUUUAGAGGCUGCUACCUGCUUCCCCACCCAUUAGAAGAAAGCUUUUA